rnacentral:sRNA from 1 species
UGUUUGCGUGAGCGAUGGCAGCGGAAAUCCUUUGGGUUGGAGUGAGGCGACGGAGCGUAGCGGAGUCGUCCGAGCGACAAACCAAAGAUUGAAGCGAACGUAGCGACCCGCU